rnacentral:lncRNA from 1 species
ACGGUGUGCGCCCGCUAAAUCAGAACCCCUUAGCUCCCUACAAUGCAUAAAUCUUGGCCGGCAGGAAGGGUAAUUCGGUCUUUUCCCUAAAUCAAUUUGAGGUAUAAAUUAGCGCUCAACUUUGAAGAAAUCAGCAACGAGCAACCACCGCAAGGAAAACGAGUACCUUAUUUUAUUUUUCUGAAAAGAAGCAGCAGCGGCAGCUCUGUUUCAAUUUCAUACCCUGUUUUCUUGUAUGGAAAGAGAGAAAAGUAAAGCUUACAUUAACGGCGAAGACGAAGAACAAGAAGAUGAGAAGAUGGAGGAGUUCUUUGC